UACGGAGGGUGCAAGCGUUGUCCGGAUUUAUUGGGUUUAAAGGGUAGCGUAGGUGGCCUUAUAAGUCAGUGGUGAAAGCCCUGCAGCUUGAACUGUAGGACUGCCAUUGAUACUGUAGGGCUUGAGUACUGAUGAGGUAGCGGAAUUGAUAGUGUAGCGGUGAAAUGCAUAGAUAAUUAUCAAGAACACCGAUUGCGAAAGGCAGCUUACUAAGG
rnacentral:rRNA from 1 species